GAGUUUGAUCCUGGCUCAGGAUGAACGCUGGCGGCGUGCCUAACACAUGCAAGUCGAGCGAAGCGCCUGGAAGUUUUCGGACAGAAGGGCGACUGAGCGGCGGACGGGUGAGUAACGCGUGGGUAAUCUGCCUCAUACAGGGGAAUAACAGUUAGAAAUGGCUGCUAAUGCCGCAUAAGCGCACAGGACCGCAUGGUCUGGUGUGAAAAACUCCGGUGGUAUAAGAUGGACCCGCGUUGGAUUAGCUAGUUGGCAGGGCAGCGGCCUACCAAGGCGACGAUCCAUAGCCGGCCUGAGAGGGUGAACGGCCACAUUGGGACUGAGACACGGCCCAGACUCCUACGGGAGGCAGCAGUGGGGAAUAUUGCACAAUGGGGGAAACCCUGAUGCAGCGACGCCGCGUGAAGGAAGAAGUAUCUCGGUAUGUAAACUUCUAUCAGCAGGGAAGAUAAUGACGGUACCUGACUAAGAAGCCCCGGCUAACUACGUGCCAGCCGCCGCGGUAAUAC
rnacentral:rRNA from 1 species